CUGAUGCAGCGACGCCGCGUGAGGGACGACGGCCUUCGGGUUGUAAACCUCUUUCAGCAGGGACGAAGCGCAAGUGACGGUACCUGCAGAAGAAGCACCGGCUAACUACGUGCCAGCAGCCGCGGUAAUACGUAGGGUGCAAGCGUUGUCCGGAAUUACUGGGCGUAAAGAGUUCGUAGGCGGUUUGUCACGUCGUUUGUGAAAACUCACAGCUCAACUGUGAGCCUGCAGGCGAUACGGGCAGACUUGAGUACUGCAGGGGAGACUGGAAUUCCUGGUGUAGCGGUGAAAUGCGCAGAUAUCAGGAGGAACACCGGUGGCGAAGGCGGGUCUCUGGGCAGUAACUGACGCUGAGGAACGAAAGCGUGGGUAGCGAACAGGAUUAGAUACCCUGGUAGUCCACGCCGUAAACGGUGGGCGCUAGGUGUGGGUUCCUUCCACGGAAUCCGUGCCGUAGCUAACGCAUUAAGCGCCCCGCCUGGGGAGUACGGCCGCAAGGCUAAAACUCAAAGGAAUUGACGGGGGCCCGCACAAGCGGCGGAGCAUGUGGAUUAAUUCGAUGCAACGCGAAGAACCUUACCUGGGUUUGACAUAUACCGGAAAGCCGUAGAGAUACGGCCCCCCUUGUGGUCGGUAUAC
rnacentral:rRNA from 1 species